AAGUCGUAACAAGGUUUCCGUAGGUGAACCUGCGGAAGGAUCAUUAACACGUAUCCCAACGUACAAACCCUCCCUAGUUGUCACCUGUCACGUCUGAAAGACCCUCGAACUCUACUUGCCAAACGCGUUGAGCAUCGGUUGAUGCUCCUCUGCGGGAGUCCGAGACUUUCGUUUUUUUCAAACCCCAACAACAACAUUGACAAAACAAACUGUCGACGGCAGAAGAAGGAAACUUUGACUGUCGCCGCAAAAACCAAAUAACCAAAAAACAACUUUUAGCAAUGGAUAUCUUGGUUCUC
rnacentral:misc_RNA from 1 species